GCCUGGGUAUCUCUGUCAGUAGAACAUCAGGCUUUUAAUCUGAGGGUCCAAGGUUCAAUUCCCUGUCCAGGCA
rfam:Sus scrofa isolate TJ Tabasco breed Duroc chromosome 1, whole genome shotgun sequence.